rnacentral:rRNA from 1 species
UACGUAGGGCGCAAGCGUUGUCCGGAAUUAUUGGGCGUAAAGAGCUCGUAGGCGGCCAGUUGCGUCUGCUGUGAAAUCCCGGGGCUCAACCCCGGGCGUGCAGUGGAUACGGGCUGGCUAGAGGCAGGCAGGGGAGAACGGAAUUCCCGGUGUAGCGGUGAAAUGCGCAGAUAUCGGGAGGAACACCGGUGGCGAAGGCGGUUCUCUGGGCCUGUACUGACGCUGAGGAGCGAAUGACGCGGGAGGGCGAAGCGGAAUCAG